AGUGAACGCUGGCGGUAGGCCUAACACAUGCAAGUCGAACGGCAGCACAGUAAGAGCUUGCUCUUACGGGUGGCGAGUGGCGGACGGGUGAGGAAUACAUCGGAAUCUACUUUUUCGUGGGGGAUAACGUAGGGAAACUUACGCUAAUACCGCAUACGACCUACGGGUGAAAGCAGGGGAUCUUCGGACCUUGCGCGAUUGAAUGAGCCGAUGUCGGAUUAGCUAGUUGGCGGGGUAAAGGCCCACCAAGGCGACGAUCCGUAGCCGGUCUGAGAGGAUGAUCGGCCACACUGGAGCUGGGACACGGUCCAGACUCCUACGGGAGGCAGCAGUGGGGAAUAUUGGGCAAUGGGCGCAAGCCUGAUCCAGCCAUACCGCGUGGGUGAAGAAGGCCUUCGGGUUGUAAAGCCCUUUUGUUGGGAAAGAAAAGCAGCAGGUUAAUACCCCGCUGUUCUGACGGUACCCAAAGAAUAAGCACCGGCUAACUUCGUG
rnacentral:rRNA from 1 species